UCCUCUCCUCGCCGUUUACAUGUGGAAAAAGGAGAGACAGAAAAAAUUGGCUGUAGCCUACCACAUUUAAUGAGCUUUACUCCGGUUUUGGAUGAGGCGCGGCAGACACCGAGGCACGAUCCGCGGAGAUGGAGCUAAGGGAUAUUUAACAUCAAACAUGGACACUACAGGCUCCCCGCGAUGACUGUGCUCUUAACCCCGAUGCUGUGAGGAGUUCUGCCUCGUGGACACAAUUUAGGAGCAUCAGCCCUUCUUCUUUAUCCUUUCCUUUCCUGUAACCCCUCUCCUUUCCUUCCUUACCCUCCGCCAAUCCUUGCCACCCACACAACGGCUUCCCCGUAGAUACUUCCUCCUCUUGCAUAACACAGGAACACGUUAGCAUUCUGAUCACUUACCAUGCAGGUUGGGACUUUGUGAAGGAAGACAAGUGAGCAAAGGCAUAAAUAAGAGAGAGAUUUAUAAAAAGGCAAUAAGCAGGGGAAGGCAUGCAGACCAAAGGAAAGAUAUUUUUGGAAAAUAUGAAGAUGUAAAGAUUUAUAUUUUGUACAUUAUACUUUUAGUACCAGCUCAUAAAUAACCCAAGGCACGAAAUAACAGACAUUUUGCACGCACAAUCUGCUGUUUAGCUUUCUUUACUGUCUCAACACACACACAUCGCCACGGUCUCAUGAUGAUGUGCGAGGUGAUGCCCACCAUAUCUGAGGAUGGGCGGAGCGGGACCGGUGGGGGCCCCUCCUCACCCGCUGGGGCAGGAGUUGGAGGUCCCGGUGGUGCGCUGGGAGGAGGGGGCUUCAGAGGAGGGGAGCCCAGAGGCGGAGGGGACGAGGGAGGUAGCACAGGGAACCUGGAGUCGUUAAUGGUCAACAUGCUGACGGAGAGGGAGAGGCUGCUGGAGAACCUGAGGGAGACGCAGGACAGCCUGGGGACAGCUCAGCUCCGCCUGCGUGAGCUUGGACAUGAGAAGGAGUCACUUUCAAGGCAGCUAUCUAUUGCUUUGCCACAGGAGUUUGCUGUGUUGACUAAAGAGCUGAACGUUUGCCGGGAGCAGCUUCUGGAGAGGGAGGAGGAGAUUGCUGAGCUCAAGGCAGAGAGAAACAACACACGUUUGUUGCUGGAGCACCUGGAGUGUCUGGUAUCUCGCCAUGAGCGUAGUCUGAGGAUGACGGUGGUGAAAAGACAGGCUCAGUCCCCAGCGGGGGUCUCCAGUGAAGUGGAAGUCCUUAAGGCCCUCAAGUCUCUGUUUGAGCACCACAAGGCCCUAGAUGAGAAGGUUCGAGAGAGGCUCCGUGUGGCCCUCGAGAGGGUGUCCAUGUUAGAGGAUCAACUUGCAGCGUCUUCUCAAGAGGUAAUCUCUUUAAGAGACCAAAUUAAAAGACGUCAACAAGGGGUGGACGGCGGGAAAGAUCGACUACCCAAUGGUCCGUCCACUGGCGCUGAGGAUAGUGAGCUUGAAAGACAACGAGAAGGAGAGAUAGAGCGGCAGAGAGCUGAACUCUCCCAGCUCAGGGAGAGGCUGGCCCUCAUGUGCCGACAGGUUGGGGAAAUAGAGGAACAGCUUGCGGCCGCCAGGAGGGAGGUGACAAAGUCGGAGGAGGCCAAUCAGAAGCUCCAAAGGGAAGUGAAAGAGGCCCUGUGCCAAAGGGAGGACAUGGAGGAGAGGAUAACAACACUAGAACGCAGGUACCUCAGCGCCCAGAGGGAGGCGACUUCUCUCCAUGAUAUCAAAGACAAGCUGGAGAAUGAGCUGGCCAGCAAAGAAUCACUGCACAGACAGAGUGAAGAAAAGAACAGACAGCUGCAGGAACGUCUGGAUGAGGCCAAGCAGAAGCUCCAGCAGACUCUACAGAGGGCAGAGACGCUGCCUGAGAUCGAGGCCCAGCUGGCUCAAAGAGUUGCUGCUCUCAACAAGGCGGAGGAGCGUCAUGGGAACUUUGAGGAGCGGCUACGGCAAAUGGAAGCUCAACUAGAGGAGAAGAACCAAGAGCUACAGAGGGCAAGGCAGAGGGAAAAGAUGAAUGACGAACACAACAAACGCCUCUCUGAUACAGUGGACAAGCUGCUGUCUGAGUCUAAUGAGAGGCUGCAGCUCCACCUCAAAGAAAGGAUGGCAGCGCUAGAGGAGAAGAAUGCUCUCUCAGAGGAACUGUCCAACAUGAAGAAAAUCCAAGAUGAUCUUAUAGCCAAUAAGGAGCAGCUCCUUGCUGAGCUAGAGCGAAUCCAAUUGGAGCUGGAUCAGCUGAGAGGCAGACCUGGCUCUUCUUACUCCAGGGCUGGCAGCGUGAGCUCACUUCCCUCCACCCUUUUCCGAAGAUCUCUUCCAGGGAGCGCCUCAGAGCUGCGGUACCCCCAGGGUGGAGGCUCCCUCCCAUCUGGCUACAGCAACACCUCUAGUGGGGUGGUGGUCAGAAGGACACAUCAUGGCCGGUGGGGGGGUGGUAGAGAUGAUGGUGGCAAGUAUGGUGAGUGUCAUAGCGGCUCUAUGAUGGGUCCUGGGUAUGAGGGCGGUGUGGAGGGAGGCUGCUCUGACGAUGAAGACGACAGAGAGACUCUGUUUGGAUCGGAGCUGCUUUCACCCAGUGGACAGACAGAUGUACAGACUUUGGCCAUCAUGCUACAGGAGCAACUGGAGGCAAUCAACAAGGAGAUAAAGCUCAUUCAAGAGGAAAAGGAGAGCACAGAGAUGAGGGCAGAAGAGAUAGAGAGUCGGGUCAGCAGCGUGGCCCUCGAUGCCUCACCUCUUCCACCCUCCUCAUUGGGAGGUCGGGACAGUGUUGGGAGGGGUUAUAUGACUCCCUCCAUCACCUCCUCCACUUUGGCGUCUCCUUCACCACCAAGUUCUGGACAUUCCACGCCACGCCUGCCACAUUCCCCUGCCAGGGAAUCUGAAAGACAGAAUAGCAAAGAGGGUGAAGAAUGCAGAGCAUUGGCACUGAUUGACUCCAACCCUUCUAUUCCUCGAGCCCUAAGACUGGACCGAAUGACGCACACUCAUCCAGGAGCAGGCCUGGAUGACCACCGUGAAUUUCGCAGUCUGUCUGCUGAUGGUGCCAUCACUGCUAGCCAGGAUUCCCUCCACAAAGCCAGCAAAAAGAAGAGCAUCAAGUCGUCCAUUGGUCGUCUCUUUGGCAAAAAGGAAAAGGGGCGGAUAGGCGCACCUGGGCGUGAAUCUGCAUCUCUGGCCUCCACCCCCUCUGAUGACCUGGGAUCAGCCGACCCCUUAGGCCUGACUAAACUUGGUACUGGGACAGUGGAGAAAGACAGGCGUAGCAAAAAGAAGCACGACUUGUUAGAGGAAGCCUGUCGUCAGGGUCUGCCUUUCGCCUCAUGGGAUGGCCCAACUGUUGUCACAUGGCUCGAGCUGUGGGUUGGGAUGCCGGCGUGGUACGUUGCUGCGUGUCGUGCCAACGUGAAAAGCGGCGCCAUUAUGGCUAACCUGUCAGACACAGAGAUCCAGAGGGAGAUCGGCAUCAGCAACCCUCUUCACCGGCUUAAACUGCGCCUGGCCAUACAGGAAAUGGUCUCCCUCACUAGUCCGUCUGCACCUGCGAGCACUCGCUCUUCUACCAGUAAUAUCUGGAUGACACAUGCAGAGAUGGAGUCUCUCACUGCGGCCACCAAACCAGCGUGUUUGGCUUCCCCUUGCCCUUACUAUCCCCUUAAGAUCUGUUUUGAUGUAGUGCUUUUUCCAACUAAUUCUCACUCACUAACAAAACUUUUCCCCCUUCUGCCCUCCCUCUCUUCUUCUCAAUUUUGGUCCUGAUUCUCUGUAACACACACGCAAACACACACUCCUCCUGGUGAUCUGUCCUUCUCCUUGCAACUAUCUUCCCCCUUUUUUUCUCACUGAUUACUCUUCCUGCCUCAACCCAAAGGAGCAGAAGGAGUUCAGCUGGGACCAGAUCCUGGCCUAUGGAGACAUGAACCAUGAGUGGGUGGGAAACGAGUGGUUGCCCAGUCUGGGUCUGCCACAGUACCGCUCCUAUUUCAUGGAGUCCCUGGUGGACGCCCGCAUGUUGGACCACCUCACCAAGAAAGAACUGAGGGGCCAGCUGAAGAUGGUGGACAGUUUCCACAGGGUGAGUCUUCACUAUGGCAUCAUGUGCUUGAAGCGCUUAAACUACGACAGGAAGGAGCUGGAGAGGAGGAGGGAUGAGAGUCAACACCAGAACCAAGAUGUGAUGGUUUGGUCCAACGAGCGAGUGAUGUGCUGGGUGCAGUCUAUAGGUCUGAAAGAGUUUGCAGACAACCUAUUAGAAAGUGGAGUGCACGGGUCCCUGCUGGCGCUAGAUGACACCUUUGACUACACUGACUUAGCCCUUUUGCUCCAGAUACCCAAUCAGAACACACAGGCAAGGCAAGUCCUGGAUAAGGAGUACAAUGCUCUCAUCUCCAUGGGAACAGAGAGGAGGCCAGAUGAGGAUGGCACCAAAACAUUUACACGGUCACCAUCAUGGAGGAAGAUGUUCAGGGAGAAGGACCUGCGCGGGAUGACUGCAGACUCCUCAGAAACAUUACCUGCCAACUUCCGUGCCUCCGCCAUUGCGACUCCCUCUGUUACCCUGAGAAAAGUCCAGAGUGAAGUAAACUCUGGUCCGAGAGGGGAGUCGGCGUCUGUGAGGACAUAUUCCUGCUAAAAGACAAGCACACCAGAAACCCUCAUCUGUCAUACUAAUCCAAGGAAAAAAGACAACAACACAUUUUUGAAGAAGAAAAAAACUGGUGAUAAAAAUCAAAAAUGGACAAUAGAAGAUGACCAACAACAUUCGAGGCAGACGCCUCAAGGAAUCAAAGACACUGAGUGAAUGCUUUCUGAAAAGAUGUUAAUGAAAUAAAUAAUGAGUGAAUGUCUGUUUAUCCAUAUCUCUCUCUCUCUCUCUCUCUCUCUCUCUCUCUCUCUCUCUCUCUCUCUCUCUCUCUCUCUCUCUCUCUCUCUCUCUCUCUCUCACUCCAUCUUUCAUCCAUAGUUGUGGCAUGAUGCUGUUUGACUCUGUAGAAAGUGGCCUGUAGAAAGUGACCAUCGUGAAUACAUCUUCUGUUUUUUGAGUGUGAGAUGGCACUAUUGACACAACGAAUUUAUAGUUUUUUAAAAUGGAGAAUGCAUUCCUGUUCAGAUAAAGAGAACAACACCCCCGACACGCAUCCUUGCAGGCGAUUUAGACUGAUGAGAGAACAUACUCUGCCUAGUAACAACAACAAAAAAGAUUAUUUGGGUUUGGGGAGAGGGAGGUCUUGAAAAAAAAGGUCAAAACGGACUCAAAGGAAAAGAGACGUAUGUUCUUAAGCCAUAACAGACAUGAGAUGCACAAAUGUGAAUAGGACAGACAAUGAGACAAUUAGCAAAGUGCUUUUAUGACAAAAUCCUGUUCAAACCGGAUUAAAAAAAAGAGUUAAGCAUUUGUGUUAAUAUGCAUGCCAAAAUCAACCAUUUUAGAGUGAACGUCAUGAUAUCAAUCAUCCAAUGAUGUGGAAGCCUGGGGACUUUGUAAAAUGUGUGUACUUUAUCAUUUUUUAUGAUAACUGCUAUUGUAUGUAUGUAUGUAUGUAUGUACAGUAUGUAUGUGUGUGUAUUUAACUGUAUGUUCAUUUCAUACUUAGUUUUAAGACUGACUGUAAUUUCAUUUCAGGUUGAAAAAGGAAAUAUGUUUUAAAUUAUGGACAUUUAAGAUAUGCUACUUGUAUGUGUACAUUUUGAGAAAAAAAAUCAAAUUGUGUUAUGAUUUUAAAUUCAUAUUAUUGGAGAGUAGUGAUGAUAAUUGAAUAUAAUAUGACAAUAAAUGAUGAUGAUACUGAUUGUAAAAGCUGUAAUUAAAAAACAUACCUGUAAAAUGCUGCCGAAGGAGUUCUUUGCAGUUUCCUCCCCGAAAAAGUUACAGGUGUCAGAUAAGUGGCUACGGUGGC